UACGUAGGGUGCGAGCGUUAAUCGGAAUUACUGGGCGUAAAGGGCGCGUAGGCGGUCAGCACAAGUCAGUUGUGAAAUCUCCGGGCUUAACUCGGAAAGGUCAACUGAUACUGUGCGACUAGAGUGCGGAAGGGGCAACUGGAAUUCUCGGUGUAGCGGUGAAAUGCGUAGAUAUCGAGAGGAACACCUGCGGCGAAGGCGGGUUGCUGGGCCGACACUGACGCUGAUGCGCGAAAGCCAGGGGAGCGAACGGG
rnacentral:rRNA from 1 species